UAGACGUGGGAGCAAUAGCGAGAAACUUAGAAAAUCUGGCCAAAAUGAGCAUUUCCUUAUUAGAUCUCCAUCUACUGUCAACAGCAUAAUAGCAGAUAAUAUUUCUUGGUGGAUUUUUAUGCACCAACAUCUGUUGAAAGUAUAAUGGAAUUUUUUUCUCAAGACAUUGAUAUGAUUAGACCUAAUAUUGUAAACCACCUACUAACCCAGGAAGUAAAAGAGUAUAAAGGAAUUUUCCUGGUCUCACUUGAAGAAAACUUAUAUCCCAAGAGGAAAAUGUAAAAAA
rnacentral:lncRNA from 1 species